GACGAACGCUGGCGGCGUGCUUAACACAUGCAAGUCGAACGGAAAGGCCCUGCUUUUGUGGGGUUCUCGAGUGGCGAACGGGUGAGUAACACGUGAGUAACCUGCCCUUGACUUUGGGAUAACUUCAGGAAACUGGGGCUAAUACCGGAUAGGAGCUCCUGCUGCAUGGUGGGGGUCGGAAAGUUUCGGCGGUUGGGGAUGGACUCGCGGCUUAUCAGCUUGUUGGUGGGGUAGUGGCUUACCAAGGCUUUGACGGGUAGCCGGCCUGAGAGGGUGACCGGCCACAUUGGGACUGAGAUACGGCCCAGACUCCUACGGGAGGCAGCAGUGGGGAAUAUUGCACAAUGGGCGGAAGCCUGAUGCAGCAACGCCGCGUGCGGGAUGACGGCCUUCGGGUUGUAAACCGCUUUCGCCUGUGACGAAGCGUGAGUGACGGUAAUGGGUAAAGAAGCACCGGCUAACUACGUG
rnacentral:rRNA from 1 species